rnacentral:rRNA from 1 species
GACGAACGCUGGCGGCGUGCUUAACACAUGCAAGUCGAACGGUGAAGCGAGUGCUUGCACUCGUGGAUCAGUGGCGAACGGGUGAGUAACACGUGAGUAACCUGCCCAUCACUCUGGGAUAAGCACUGGAAACGGUGUCUAAUACUGGAUACGACCACCCCUUGCAUGGGGUGUUGGUGGAAAGGUUUAUCGGUGAUGGAUGGACUCGCGGCCUAUCAGCUUGUUGGCGGGGUAAUGGCCCACCAAGGCGACGACGGGUAGCCGGCCUGAGAGGGUGACCGGCCACACUGGGACUGAGACGCGGCCCAGACUCCUACGGGAGGCAGCAGUGGGGAAUAUUGCACAAUGGGCGAAAGCCUGAUGCAGCGACGCCGCGUGAGGGAUGACGGCCUUCGGGUUGUAAACCUCUUUCAGCAGGGAAGAAGCGAAAGUGACGGUACCUGCAGAAGAAGCACCGGCUAACUGCGUG